AUGGUAGCAAGACAUGCUACAUGGGGCAUCGCAGGUUCUUACAUGAAGAUCACCCCUUUAGGUCCAAUACCCAUUCUUUUGAUGGCAUUGUUGAGCAUAGGCCAGCGCCAGUUCCUCUCUCUGGAUCAGAAAUUCUUGCUCAGACGAAAGAUAUGCAUACCAUUUUUGGGAAGGAUCCUUCCGGGAAGAAGAAAACCAAGCGGAAGCGCAAGGUUGAUGAGACGUUAA
rnacentral:rRNA from 1 species